rnacentral:lncRNA from 10 species
CACCAGUCUCAUGCACGGAGCUGACAACCACAUCCCUUAAAGAAAGGCCCUGUGCCAUUUCCAGAGCUUUUCUUUUUUCUCGUCAUGGUGUUGGCUUUUAAUGGAAACCAAGAAACUUGAUGCACCGAGCCCAAGAAACAGAAACAGAAGCAGAAGCAGAAAGCUUCAGUGGAAAACAGCUAUCCAGUUAAAGGAGCCUCAAGAACAAAGGCCAUCAGAGAGGCCGUUUGCUGGCAUGGAGCCCCCCAGGACUCAUCAACCAUGGUUGAGGUUGACUGAAAACAGAGCAAGAGAGGCCCCCGCCUGUCUCAGAUGAGACUGGUGUUUUUUGCAAAUGGAUUACUUAAAGGUGUCUUGAAGGGGUAUGAUACUGCGAUAUGCACCUUUCACUGCCUGGAAUCUUCCUGAGUUUUGUCUUGGUCGAGCUGCCUUCCAUGUACAGCCCCCUCUGAAGAUGUUGGAAAGGAGGAGAAGGAAGAGGAAAGCAGAGGGGAUCGCCCCGCAGAGGCCAGCCUGCAGCCUGGGCUCCAUGCACCUCUGGCUGCUAACGGGAUCCACCUCGGGUCAAGAAGGUGCUGGCUCACACUUUCCUCAAGAUUUUAGAGAUGCAUGUAUCCCAGUGCAUGUCCUGGAAAGCCUUUAAAAUUCAGAGAAAACAAGCAAAGCUCUGGCUAAUUAAAUGUUUUCUGCUUACCGUUGUUAACAUAUUAAUGAAACAGGUUAAAUGUAUUACUCAGUGAUGAGGAAGCUCUUAGCUUCUAUGCACCCCUUUUUGAGAGGAUUUCUCCAAGUGGCAUCAGUGUUUACAGUGCACUGGCUUCCUGUUCAUAGGACUUUUAUGUGGGGGUGGUGGCAAGGCAGAAAGCAUCCCCAGGGUGAGAAGGGGAUGGGGAGGUCCACGUUGCAGUUCAGACCCCCUCGUCACCUGCCUUUGAGACAGCCACGUCCCUGAGCCUUUCCUGUCAAAUGAGGGUAGGUAAGUUUCUAAUGUUCCCGUUUUGACCUCUCAGACUCAGGGACUGGGGCUAGAGCACGGGUCCUCUCGUUGAAGUCACUGUAGCACUUCAGAGGCAUCAGCACUCUUGCUUUAUUUUGCACAUCCUUGGUUGUCAGUUAUUAUGGGUACACAGCAAGCUACCCCAAACUUAGUACAACAACAACCGUUUUGCUGUGCUCACGGAUUCUGUGGGUAAGGAAUUUGGAAGGGGCCCAGGGUGUGGUGUGUCAUUUGGGAAGAUUUGAGUCAGUAGUAGGUUUGCUCACUCCCAUGUCUGUGGCGCACGUGGCCUCUGUGUGGCUGGGCUUCCUCACAGCAUGGCGUCCUGAGCUGCCUUUCAUGGGGGCUUACUCAGGGCUCCCAGCACAAGGGUUCCAGCCAACAGGGUGGAUUUCACAGCGCCUUUUCUGGCCCAGUCUCUG